UCAAAGGAUUUUUAAAAAUCCACACACUUUAGCCACAAAUUAUAU
rfam:Stomoxys calcitrans breed 8C7A2A5H3J4 unplaced genomic scaffold Scaffold125, whole genome shotgun sequence.